GGCCAUCAGGCAGUUGGCGGGGUAAUGGCCCACCAAACCUAAGACGGGUAGCUGGUCUGAGAGGAUGAUCAGCCACACUGGAACUGAGACACGGUCCAGACUCCUACGGGAGGCAGCAGUGGGGAAUCUUGCGCAAUGGACGAAAGUCUGACGCAGCGACGCCGCGUGGGUGAUGAAGGCCUUCGGGUUGUAAAGCCCUGUGGGGCGGGACGAAUUAGUAGAAGCUAAUACCUUCUAUGAUGACGGUAUCGCCUUAGCAAGCACCGGCUAACUCUGUGCCAGCAGCCGCGGUAAGACAGAGGGUGCAAACGUUGUUCGGAAUUACUGGGCGUAAAGCGUGUGUAGGCGGCCAUGCAAGUCGGAUGUGAAAGCCCCAGGCUCAACCUGGGAAGUGCACCCGAUACUGCAAGGCUAGAGUAUCGGAGAGGUUGGUGGAAUUCUCGGUGUAGAGGUGAAAUUCGUAGAUAUCGAGAGGAACACCGGCGGCGAAUGCGGCCAACUGGACGAAUACUGACGCUGAGGCACGAAAGCGUGGGGAGCA
rnacentral:rRNA from 1 species